UUCACGUCUCUGCCUUCUCUCUCUCUCCCGUAUUCCUCUCUCUCGAACGCACUCAAAGAACAGAAGCCAUGGGAGUAUCUGGGUGAAGCUCAAGUCCGAAAUUCAAGCCCUAGUUUCAGUCCGAUUUCGUUUUCGAGUUCGAAUUAAGGUCAAUUUGGGAAGUAACGGUCCAAAGGAAGGAGGGGACGCGUGCCUACUAACUUAAGGACGUAAUGAGGUUGAGCUGAUGUGGUGAUGGUGCUGCAAUGAGCGGAGUCUCCAGGGUUGUUAAUAAAUGAAGUUAACCUGCCUAGAAUAUGUCUUCAUACAUAUGUCUAGCUACUUUCCGCUGCAAAAUAGUUAU